AACUAACUUACUACAUUAUUAUUGUUAUUUUAAUAUUAAGAGCUCUAAAGACCCAAACCGAAAAGAAUGCCUAAAGUGGUUUUCAAAAGAUGAAUUGACGAAUUUCUUAAUUCUUUUUGUUUCGUUGUGAUAAUUUGUCGUAUGAGAACGCUAACGAGAAAAAACUUUUUAAAUAUAGAAACAUGCGUAAUAUAAAGUUUACUUAUGCCUAUAAAAAAAUAUGUUUUACAUUAAUUAAUAAAUUAACUUUUUAGUUUCUUGUUAAAAAUUGUAUUCUGUAUUGAAGUUUAUUUCUGAGAAUUUGUAAUUAUACCUAAGAUAAUCUAAUCCUACAUUGUAUUUUAAUUUAUAAAACUCGAUAUUUUAAAAUAAAUAUAUUACUUUUUUAUCGCG
rnacentral:lncRNA from 1 species